GGUUAAUGCAGUGACCCAGAGUUCAAAAAAUCCCUGCAGUGGUCACUCCCAGGAGAGCAGCUCUCUGAGGACAGCUCCCCUGGGUGUGUGUGGCCAGUGUUCAUCAGAGCACUCCCACAAUGUACAAGAAGCAGGAGGCAAAUGCCUACAGCCAGCCCCGUGAGGGGCAGCCACUGCUGGGCCAGCGGCGACAGGUGACCCAGAGGCAGCCACAGGCAGCACCGCAGGUCACCUGGACGACCAUCACGCCCAUCCCUGGGGACAGGCCGACUCUGGUGCCCACACCCAUCCGGUCACGGAGCCCCACCAGAUCCCGCAGAUGCAGGGGCAGCCAGGAGGGCGGGCACUCAGUGCCCCACAGCAGUGUCACACGGCCACGGCAUUUGUCCGUGUCAGACUUGCCGCCUUUCCAGGCCCCAGUGUUGGCACUGGCACCUCCUCGCCAGCUCAGACCUCAACGGUCAAGAGCAUCCUCUGACACUGUCAAGCUGCCCCCUCUGCCAGCAGCAGGAGAAGCCUCUGGAUCCUCUCUCAGAGGCACAGCCCGUGCUGUGGGAGCAGCCUCUGACAGUGUCAAGCUGCC
rnacentral:lncRNA from 12 species